GACGAACGCUGGCGGCGUGCCUAAUACAUGCAAGUCGAGCGAGACUCUUCGGAGUCUAGCGGCGGACGGGUGAGUAACACGUGGGCAACCUGCCUGUAAGACUGGGAUAACACCGGGAAACCGGUGCUGAUACCGGAUAAUCCUUUUCCUCUCAUGAGGAAAAGCUGAAAGUCGGUUUCGGCUGACACUUACAGAUGGGCCCGCGGCGCAUUAGCUAGUUGGUGAAGUAACGGCUCACCAAGGCGACGAUGCGUAGCCGACCUGAGAGGGUGAUCGGCCACACUGGGACUGAGACACGGCCAAGACUCCUACGGGAGGCAGCAGUAGGGAAUCUUCCACAAUGGACGAAAGUCUGAUGGAGCAACGCCGCGUGAGGGAUGAAGGCCUUCGGGUCGUAAAGCUCUGUUGUUAGGGAAGAACAAGUACCGGAGUAACUGCCGGUACCUUGACGGUACCUAACCAGAAAGCCACGGCUAACUACGUGCCAGCAGCCGCCGCCG
rnacentral:rRNA from 1 species